rnacentral:misc_RNA from 1 species
GAAAUGCGAUAAGUAGUGUGAAUUGCAGAAUUCAGUGAAUCAUCGAAUCUUUGAACGCACAUUGCGCCCCUUGGUAUUCCAUGGGGCAUGCCUGUUCGAGCGUCAUUUGAACCCUCAAGCUCUGCUUGGUGUUGGGUGCCUGUCCCGCCCCCGCGCGUGGACUCACCUCAAAUCCAUUGGCGGCCGGUACUUUGGCUUCGAGCGCAGCAGAAACGCGAACUCGAGGCCGUCGUCCUGGCUCCCAGAAGCUAUCUUCACAAUUUUGACCUCGGAUCAGGUAGGGAUACCCGCUGAACUUAA